rnacentral:rRNA from 1 species
GCUCUAGGGCACGAGUGAAACGC